ACCAAGUCAAAAAACAAGACAAAAUACUAAAGAAUCCCAAGAAAAUUAUUCCUGAAAAAACCAUAGAACAUUUGCUUCUUGUCUUGCUUUUUCACACUCUAUACACAGGAAGUGAAAAAACUGGUUAGAAGAUGAGAAAAAUGAAGAAGAGAGAAUGGAGCUCUAUUCUUGGAUGGUUGAUCAUUUUUCUUCAGCUAUUUUUGUUGGCUGAAUCUGCAUUAACAAGAGA